CCUACGGGUGGCAGCAGUGGGGAAUAUUGGACAAUGGGCGAAAGCCUGAUCCAGCCAUGCCGCGUGUGUGAAGAAGGCCUUCGGGUUGUAAAGCACUUUCAGUGGGGAAGAAAGCCUUGGGGCUAAUACCCUCGAGGAAGGACAUCACCCACAGAAGAAGCACCGGCUAACUCCGUGCCAGCAGCCGCGGUAAUACGGAGGGUGCGAGCGUUAAUCGGAAUUACUGGGCGUAAAGCGCGCGUAGGCGGUCUGAUAAGCCGGUUGUGAAAGCCCCGGGCUCAACCUGGGAACGGCAUCCGGAACUGCCAGGCUAGAGUGCAGGAGAGGAAGGUAGAAUUCCCGGUGUAGCGGUGAAAUGCGUAGAGAUCGGGAGGAAUACCAGUGGCGAAGGCGGCCUUCUGGACUGACACUGACGCUGAGGUGCGAAAGCGUGGGUAGCAAACAGGAUUAGCUACCCGUGUAGUC
rnacentral:rRNA from 1 species